AAAAACUGUAAUGUUGGCAGUUAGCAAAGUAACGCUAGCAACAAAACUCACAGCAGCACGUAAACAAGUCCACAAGUUGUGACAAAAAAUUAUGUCCAUCAGCUCUGGGAUCUGAUCCACCAACCUUUCGGUUCUUGUCCCAACGCUCCUACCCACCAGUGCUACGACAUCUGGGCGAAUUGCUUGGUUUGGAAGAAGGAUGAAAGGAAGGCGAGACCUGGGAAACCUCACUGCUCUUUCGCUCCUAGCUGGGGUCACCAUCUGUUAAUGGUUUCCUCGGUGGAAGCCAAAAAUCUUCCCCAGUUGUAGCAAUUGGACUGUUGACCACUGAAAGCACUGAUGCCCUACACUUCGGUGAAGCCCGAUAGACAAAGACCUAGGGGUUCUGCCCAACAUCCAGACGUGGAUACACCUGAUGUCCUCCAUUACCAACCACCCUCCAACUUUUUAUUACAUCAUCUACAGCUACUGUUAUUGUCAUGUCAUUAUCUGCUAAGAACGUUUUCUUGCUCUAUCAUACUGGGCACAUAAUUAUGUGAGAUACACAGAUUAACUAAAAACAUUAGCACUGCAAACACUCAGAACAAAGAGAGCAGCAGUGCCUGGUCUCCCUCUUCAAGUCCCCCUUCUAAGACUGGCUGCCUAUUGAGAACAAGUGACAGGCAGAACAUCCCACCCACACAGUAACCACCUACUCUAUUUUCCACACACCAGAAUUCAGUAUUUUAGUCUAUGAUUGCCAUGUGAGUGUACAAAAAAAUCUAUGAAAAUAAAUUAAUGACAACUGUA